GGUGAGGUGUCCGAGUGGCCGAAGGAGCACGCCUGGAAAGUGUGUAUACGGCAACGUAUCGGGGGUUCGAAUCCCCCCCUCACCGCCA
rnacentral:tRNA from 2 species